UGACGCGCCACACCCGCGUCCCAUCGCGUAUCACCGUCACACUUCCGAGACACUCUAAACCUGCAGACACAACGCACACACGUCCUGACAUGCCCGCACUCCUAUGGUGUUGGUACAAUCGCUGUGGCCCUACGCUACUGUCGCCCCAUCAAUCAUAUGCGCAACUGCCCACCACCGCUGUUGCCACCGCGCAGUGAAGCACCUCACCAGCCGCUUCCGCAUCUCGACAGGGCGUAAUGAAGAUCCAAUGUCGCCUUCGUUGUUAUGCCGGCAUGUACUGCUUGGGGCCGAGGCCGGGAGGCGCCGUUGAUUGCGCGGGGGCAGCCGCAGGUCACCAUCACCGGCACUGGUUCACGAGCCCGAUCCAACCGCUCCCGCCUACUUUGAUACGGACGAAGGUACAAGUGGAAGAUACACAUCUCCCUAUUCAACUAUCCCGUGCAGACAAGUCACACGAUGUAAUAGAUUCCAUGCGCUGUGAGGAAGACAAGAGCGACGCGGUCUCAAGUGCGAGGUGGGUGCACUCGCACUGGUAUUGACCAAGCCACACGUGCAAGUGCGCAGGACUGCAAAGUUAAGUUGUCUGAGUCAUAAGGGUACACCGCACUCACGCAAAGCACAUGUAUAAAGCGUCAAAGUGUCACAAACUAAUGGUACAAGUGGAGCCGCUAUCAGGCACU
rnacentral:lncRNA from 1 species